rnacentral:misc_RNA from 1 species
UCACACCCCAAAAUUACAUAAAUAGAAAAUAAUUAUAAAAUAUCCCCUUUAGUCCCUGAAAUUUACAUAUUACUACUUAAACAUUCUAACCCCCUUACAUUCUCUAAUUAGAUAAAUAGAAAAUAAUUACAAAAUAUCCCCUUUAGUCCCUGAAAUUUACAUAUUACUACUUAAACAUUCUAACCCCCUUACAUUCUCUAAUUAGAUAAAUAGAAAAUAAUUAC